UCACAGUUUCAAUCAAUUUGAUUACAUUUUAUUCUGCUAUUUUUCCCACAAUAACCGGACUUCCCCUUUUUGUGCUCCAGGUUUCUUUCAGCACUCCAGCACCAUGUGCGUUUUCUUGUUUAAAAAAAAUUACGUAGUUUUGUAGGCUGUGCCUGGAUCUUGUUUAAAACAAAGAAAAUUGAGCCUUUACAACCUCUUGGUGUCUCCUUUUGAGUGCUUGUGGUUGGAUUUAAAAGCCCCCUCCAUUUUUCUUAGUAUUCCUUCUGGAUGAGGAAAGGAACCAUUAAAAAUGACAAAAGCAAAUUUGGAGUUUUGGUAUAACUGAGACUGAAAAGGACCCCUGGAUGCCUCUUGUCCCAACCCUUGCUCAGAAUUUCACAUUGGCCUGCUUUCUCAGUAGCUAACUAGUCAACUUCUAUUUGGAGGACAGAUUCCACACACCUUUGAGCAAAACCCUGGCAAUUUACCAUCACUGUCACCUCUCCUGCAGGUCCACAAAGAAUAAGGGGCCAUGGAUGUUUGGUCACCUGGAUGAUGGAACUCUGGAUGGCCACAGAACAGCAAAUAUUUCUACAGAUAUUGGGAUGUUCUCCUAACAUCAGAGCUAGAAAGGGCUGAAGUUUCAUGCUACCAAGUGCUGGAAUGCUGCAGCACCAAAGUAGGUACUUCUGUGCUUAGGGUUUGGAGACAUGCAUAUCUCUCAGGGUGAGAUUUAAAAGUCUUAAAUCCUACUUUUUGCAGAUCUUAGGAGCCUAAUUCUGUGCUGCCAAUAGGAGAUGGAGGAAAUACAACUUGUUCCAGGAAAUUCCCAUUUCAGAGUUUCCUCCAAAAUCGAGGCAGAGUUCUCUCUCUCUUUGAGAGAGCUAGAGAUCAUUACAUCAUUCCCUGCUGUCUUUCUCCAUUUAAGGAGAAUGCUCUGCUGUGGGAUGAUCCCAUCGUCCUCUCAAAGAAUUCAAAUCCUUAUUCCAGCUUCCCAAAGGUAUAAAUUUGGCCAUAGUACAUAAUUUCUUUACCCUCCUGAUCAUUCACCCUCUUCGUUCCACCUCAUUACCCCACUGAAGCCGUUCCACCAUGCAGCCAAAACUCAAAAUGUAUGGAACCACAGAAGAAAAGGAAUUUAAGGGAGCUCAGCUCACUAAAAGACGGUUACGAUGGCCAAGAGGUUCUUGCAUACACAAGCCUACAGCACUCAUUCACAUUUUAUGUGAGACUGUUUUCCUAGGAAAUAGCUGCCACAAGGAACUGCUGACAUUGUUCACAUCUCAUAUACAACCACAAAGCAUGUGUGGCCACAGGCACAUGGUGGAUGUAGUCCAAAGCCCAUGGCUAUUGACACAAAACCUCCCCCUGACAGCAGUUGCCUUUGGACUGAGCUCAAAAACCAGAAGUCAAUGUUAUGUUGGUUCUUCUUUCUCCAGGGCUCCUGCUGCUUUCUAUUCUAAUUGGAUGAGAUACACUGGGACACACACACACAUACCCUUUACGUCAAAAUAGGGCUUUAGGUAAUAUUUUUAACAAAAUAGCAAGUUUUGUGUCUUAGCUGACCAUGUAAGUGGGGGGCA
rnacentral:lncRNA from 1 species